CCUACGGGUGGCAGCAGUGGGGAAUAUUGGGCAAUGGACGCAAGUCUGACCCAGCAACACCGCGUGAGUGAAGAAGGGUUUCGGCUCGUAAAGCUCUGUUGUUGGAGAAGAACGUGCGUGAGAGUAACUGUUCACGCAGUGACGGUAUCCAACCAGAAAGUCACGGCUAACUACGUGCCAGCAGCCGCGGUAAUACGGGGGAUGCAAGCGUUAUCCGGAUUUAUUGGGUUUAAAGGGUGCGUAGGCUGUGAGGUAAGUCAGCGGUGAAAUGCCCCCGCUCAACGGGGUGAAGUGCCAUUGAUACUGCCUUGCUGGAAUGCGGAUGCCGUGGGAGGAAUGUGUGGUGUAGCGGUGAAAUGCAUAGAUAUCACACAGAACACCGAUUGCGAAGGCAUCUCACGAAUCCGCGAUUGACGCUGAUGCACGAAAGCGUGGGUAUCAAACAGGAUUAGAUACCCGAGUAGUC
rnacentral:rRNA from 1 species